CGGAACGUUCGGAUUUUGGGUUUAAGGGUGCGUAGGUGGACACUUAAGUCAGUGGUGAAAGUUUGGUCGCUUAACGAUAAAAUUGCCAUUGAAACUGGGCGUCUUGAGUUUAGAUGAAGUAGGCGGAAUGCGUGGUGUAGCGGUGAAAUGCAUAGAGAUCACGCAGAACUCCGAUUGCGAAGGCAGCUUACUAAGGUAAAACUGACACUGAAGCACGAAAGCGUGGGUAUCAAACAGGAUUAGAUACCCUGGUAGUCCACGCAGUAAACGAUGAUUACUAGGAGUUUGCGAUAAACAGUAAGCUCUACAGCGAAAGCGUUAAGUAAUCCACCUGGGGAGUACGCCGGCAACGGUGAAACUCAAAGGAAUUGACGGGGGCCCGCACAAGCGGAGGAACAUGUGGUUUAAUUCGAUGAUACGCGAGGAACCUUACCCGGGAUUGAAAUGCAGAAGACGAACCGUGAAAGCGGUUUUCCAGCAAUGGCUUCUGUGUAGGUGCUGCAUGGUUGUCGUCAGCUCGUGCCGUGAGGUGUCGGCUUAAGUGCCAUAACGAGCGCAACCCUGAUUGUCAGUUGCUAACAGGUCAUGCUGAGGACUCUGGCGAGACUGCCGGCGUAAGCUGUGAGGAAGGUUGGGAUGACGUCAAAUCAGCACGGCCCUUACAUCCGGGGCGACACACGUGUUACAAUGGCAUGGACAAAGGGCAGCUACCUGGCAACAGGAUGCGAAUCUCAAAACCAUGUCUCAGUUCGGAUCGGAGUCUGCAACUCGACUCCGUGAAGCUGGAUUCGCUAGUAAUCGCGCAUCAGCCAUGG
rnacentral:rRNA from 1 species